GAGACAAUAUUCGGAGAACGCGGCCAGCGUGGCAGACGAGGGAGAAGGUUUCGUCCAGGGCCGGGUGGAAGCCAGGGUUCCCGGCUCAGGUUCGCUUCAGGCUCCCACCUAUAAUUAGGCACCACAUCGGCACCUUUGUGCAGCGGUUGGCGAACGUCGCAAGGGCGUUACCAUGGGCCCACCCAGCGUCUCCAGCCCCGUGCCCAAGCCUCGUCGGGGGAACGCCUUACGGCUGCCAGUCCGCUUCGAGCUUGAGGCUUCACCGGCGUUGAUCGUCACGGCCUGGACGACGCUACACCAGCGUCUGUAAUCGUCAACUUCUGCGCAAGUCCCAGAGCAUCGAUACUCCUCGUCUUUUCACCCGGACCCGGUCGGACAUCCACUGCCAACAAGACAGCAACGACCACAACAGUAAAACUCAAAACUACGACGGCGACUACCCGCGCCCCUGAGAGACCCGGAACAGGCCCUGAAUGACCAUAUUGACGACGUGCAUCCUUAGAGGGCUUCGUUUCGUCCUGGCAUUGAUUAUCUACAUCAA
rnacentral:lncRNA from 1 species